rnacentral:rRNA from 1 species
AGCAGCCGCGGUAAAUUCCAGCUCCAAUAGCGUAUAUUAAAGUUGUUGCAGUUAAAAAAGCUCGUAGUUGAAUUUCGGGAUCAAUAAGUCGGUCAUGCCGUUGGUAUGUACUGAUUUUUUGAUUCUCACCUUCUAAUGAACCGUAAUGUCAUUAAUUUGAUGUUGCGGGGAAUUAGGCUGUUACCUUGAAAAAAUUAGAGUGUUUAAAGCAGGCUAACGCUUGAAUACAUUAGCAUGAAUAAUGAAAUAGGACGUUUGAUUCUAUUUUGU